rnacentral:rRNA from 1 species
GUAGGGAAUCUUCGGCAAUGGACGAAAGUCUGACCGAGCAACGCCGCGUGAGUGAAGAAGGUUUUCGGAUCGUAAAACUCUGUUGGUAGAGAAGAACGUUGGUGAGAUUGGAAAGCUCAUCAAGUGACGGUAACUACCCAGAAAGGGACGGCUAACUACGUGCCAGCAGCCGCGGUAAUACGUAGGUCCCGAGCGUUGUCCGGAUUUAUUGGGCGUAAAGCGAGCGCAGGUGGUUUAUUAAGUCUGGUGUAAAAGGCAGUGGCUCAACCAUUGUAUGCAUUGGAAACUGGUAGACUUGAGUGCAGGAGAGGAGAGUGGAAUUCCAUGUGUAGCGGUGAAAUGCGUAGAUAUAUGGAGGAACACCGGUGGCGAAAGCGGCUCUCUGGCCUGUAACUGACACUGAGGCUCGAAAGCGUGGGGAGCAAACAGGAUUAGAAACCCCGGUAGUCC